rnacentral:rRNA from 1 species
UGGGGAAUAUUGCACAAUGGGCGCAAGCCUGAUGCAGCCAUGCCGCGUGUGUGAAGAAGGCCUUCGGGUUGUAAAGCACUUUCAGCGAGGAGGAAGGUGGUGAGCUUAAUACGCUCAUCAAUUGACGUUACUCGCAGAAGAAGCACCGGCUAACUCCGUGCCAGCAGCCGCGGUAAUACGGAGGGUGCAAGCGUUAAUCGGAAUUACUGGGCGUAAAGCGCACGCAGGCGGUUUGUUAAGUCAGAUGUGAAAUCCCCGGGCUCAACCUGGGAACUGCAUUUGAAACUGGCAAGCUAGAGUCUCGUAGAGGGGGGUAGAAUUCCAGGUGUAGCGGUGAAAUGCGUAGAGAUCUGGAGGAAUACCGGUGGCGAAGGCGGCCCCCUGGACGAAGACUGACGCUCAGGUGCGAAAGCGUGGGGAGCAAACAGAUUAGAUACCCUGGUAGUCCACGCUGUAAACGAUGUCGAUUUUGGAGGUUGUGCCCCUUGAGGCGUGCUUCCGGAGCUAACGCGUUAAAG